CGGUGACCCUAUCUUUUCUUUUUAUAUUCUCAAAGCACUGUCUGAAAGCUAUCUUUUCCUUAAGUAUUUAACAAUUCUAUCAUUUUGUUUAGUUUCUAAUCACAAAAAGGUGUUUUUUCCUGUAUAAACCAUACAAAAUGUGUCAUUUUGUCACGUCCUGUAGCUUGAGAAAAUGCGCGGUGACCUAUCAUUUUGAUUAUAUUUUUCAACAUAUAUCAAUAGAUACUACGGUUUGGCAAAGUAUGAACAAUUUCUAUCAUUUUUAUUUUAGACUCCCAUACCACCUUAA
rnacentral:lncRNA from 1 species